GACGACACUGUAAAUAUAUCCUCUACUUUAGUAUCUUCCUAACAGUACAGUGCUUACAUUUUACCCCACGGCUGCAGACUUAACGUACACCACCAAUUCCAAGCCAGUCUCUAAAGCUAUAAAACACACCAAAGGUUAUAAACAAACCUUACUGACCGUACUGUGCUACAGCAGGCUUUACCUGAAUUAACAGAUCCAACUAACAGCUACUUUACAGAUGUCAGAAGAUAACACAUUAAAAUACAAGAGAACCUAAGCUUUCCAGAGGGGGGCAGUCUGUGAGUUCAGAAGGAGAAAAAUAGUACUUGUUUAAUUUCAUUCCGUAAUAAGACCAAAAUGAAUCACAAUUCUUUAUAAGGAAGUCAGAAAAUAGUUAAGUUCUAUACAGAUACUAAAAUUUCAUAAUACCCAACAUCUUUAUCACUUAGAUAACAUCUUAUUAAAAUUGGUCUUGACAUUUUCAUAACCCUUGUAUUUUCUCAUAGUAUAGUGGCACAUAUAAAACGUCCAUGGACACUGGAAAUAAAACAUUUCGAGCAGGGACUCAGUAAGCCUCCUUAGCUCCGCCCGUGGUAGGCGGAGAGCACGACACCCCUUCAUGAUUGCUUUCAGGAAGGCAGAGUUUCGUGCAGCGGGCUUUGCAGUUAGGUAAAGCAUUCCAAAGACAAGCGUUCUUAUACCAAGAGGAAACGGCUGACAGGUCUGCUGCUUAUCAUUGUCCUUUGUGGUUUCUAUCGUCUACAUGGUAGCAAACACGGGUUUCUCAUUCCCCAGGGUUGAAGGUGUGUGCUGUCCAUGUCGUUGACUCUCCUCCACUAGAGCUCAUAGAAACCUCACUGACUGCAGCCAGACUUCGCUUUCGUCUCCACAGCUGGCUGAUUACUGACUACUCAUCUUUUAUUAGGAUAGAUGAUAAAGCCGUGCAACGCACAGGGGAAUCUAAUCUCUCAAUCCAAGUCUAUGUAGAGAAGUAGUCCCUCACCCCGUACCCUGGAACCUCUCCACACACUUCCCAGGCAACUCCUGUGCAACCCGAGGCUCUCUGAGUACACAGAAUGAUCCAGUCAUGGGGAGGCUCUCUGAGUAGACAGAAUGAUCCAGUCAUGGGGAGGCCUCUCUAGAAAGCCCUGGGUCAGAAUGACACACUGUCCUGAGGAUUCUAUUUACCUUUUGCUUUUAGUGUUUUUGUUAGACGUGAGAGCUAGAGAUGAAAAGUCCACCUUUUUGAACUGCUGGGCCUAUGCUGGAGAACUAAGGCAUUACUAAAACUCCAGACAGCAACUCUGCCUCUCCACAACUCAGCCUCUUCUGCUCCAAUGUGAGAACACACCCGGCACUUAUGUGUGAGAUGUGUCUGGCACUCACGUGCCUUAUGCACCCGGUGUGAGAACACACCCAGUGCUCACGUACCCUGCAUGUGAGAACACACCUAGUGCUCAUGUACCCUGCAUGUGAGAUCACACCCAGUGCUCAGGUACCCUGCAUGUGAGAUCACACCCAGGGCUCAUGUACCCUGCAUGUGAGAACACACCCGGUGCUCAUGUACCCUGCAUGUGAGAACACACCCAGUGCUUAUGCAUGUAAACACAGCCUCAGAGCAUUGGCAGCCAGUCUUAGGGGUACUCCUAGGGUCUCCUGGGUAAUUCUUCUGUGAACUGUGAAUAAUUUCCUGAGUUUCUGUACAUUUGUCAAAAUUUAAUAUGGAGAGGCCUAGGGAACCUGUGGUUGUCAUUCUCUGUAACUCUUUGCUCUCACUUUGGUAUCAAUUCCCAAGGUAAACUUCUUGCCAAUAAGCUCACAUCAGGAAAGGUUACAUACACGCUCUGCUUUCUGACAGAACAUGAAAGGACAUAGUAGCUGGUAGAGAACUGAGGAGAGGAACUCACAGUUGAGAGAAUGUGAGGAAAGGAGCUUUCACGGUGAAACGUAUCAACAGGGACCUGACCAAUCAGACACAAUCACUCCAGUCAUGUAGGCACUGGGCCGGCCAGGUUAAGAGACCAGAGGACUGACAAGUGGGUAUUAAGUCUACACCCAGAAUUCUAAUAAACCUGAUGUCUAGUUAGUUUUCUUAGAAUUCUGCCAUUAUGAUGUCCUAUUCUAUUCAAGAACUGUCUGGGCCUCAACUUCCAAGCUCAAAUAUGCUGGAGACGGAGGACAGCAAGGGGAAGGGAGAGAAGGCGGGGAGACAGGGGUCGGGGAAGCACGGUGGAAGGAGGGAGAGUGUUAAUCUAACAGUUUCCUCCCAGACUAAAACCUUCCAACCUAUGGGAAAGCUCUAUAAACAGAGGAAACAACUCAAAGCAGCUUGAGGAAGUCCCGUAAACUGACCAGAUUCACCAGACCCUUCCCUGCCAGUGUAAGCAAUAAAAGACGAGUCUCUUUCAGAGGAGCCAAGUUGCAAAAGCCCUCUGAGCUGCUUGGAUGAAACAGAAACACACUGAGCUGCCUGGAAGAGGUUUAGGCCAGUGGAGACAUCAGGAAAGGACACUCUACAACCUGCUGAGCUGCCACAGGCUGUGCAGUGAGCUCCAGGUUCCAAGAUUUUGUGAGCUGGGGUGAUGCAGCUGCAGAGUCAUCUCUGCUCCUGGAAGGAACCCCUCACCUGUAUUCCUUUGGAAAUACUGCCUUGAAGCUUCUCCUCCUGCCUAGAAAAGAAAACUUCAGACCCUUGACUGUUAGGGUGGAGCCUGCCUGGGAGCUCCGCAGAAGGAAGCUGCUGAGUUACCAUGGGGAAAGCUCCCAGGAUCCCUUUCACCAUCUCCUCAGGAGUAGGACCACAGCAGCACCCGCUCAGGGCCACACGGAGCAGCAGUCUGCAGACUCCACCAGGGCAGAGCCUGCAAUCUUGAGUUCUCAUCUGCAUGGAUUUUCCUGUCAUCGUUUCGUGAGAGGACAAAGGGAGCCCGCUGAGAAAGACAGUUUAUAGCACCCGAUCAUGGGGCUGUACACGUCACUCAAAGUCACUUACCCUUGUAGAGCAUAGUUCAUAAACAGGGACUGUAUUAUAAAAUCUAAAUGCUAUUAUAGAUCAGUUAUAGAACAGAAAGUUUAGUUUACUCUUAGAAGUUGGGGGGCUGGAGAAAUAGCUCAGUGGUUAAGAGCAUUUAAGGCUCUUGUAGAAGACCCAGGUUUGGUUCCCAGCUCCCCCAAUGUAGCCUGUAACCAUCUAUAAACCCAAGGGAUAUGAUGAUGUGCUCUUUGGGGCCCUCUCGAGCACCAGACACAAGGUGUGCCUAUGUACAUGCAGGUGAAACUCACACAAAAUAAAAAUAGAAAAGAAUCAUGAUAUGAAAAUCGACUUUCUUGCCUCCUCCUAAACUACCUAAGACCUCUUUACAACUUGGACCGCUCCAACAGGGUAGGAGUCACUGAAUCUCUGACCUCAGCCCCUGCUGCCUGGCACUCUCAUGGGUUGCUGUGUCUUCUCCUGGCAUGCUAUCCUGCUAUUCCUGUCUACCUACAAGUGGGUAGGAAGAUUAAGGGAAAGAGCUCUUCAUCACUGCCGGGAAAGUCACAAAGGAAAGGGAGAAAGAACCAAAUGAGAUGAGCUCACUGACCGGGACAACACUGACCCAAUGCUGGGACCCAAUGCAGUAUGGGAAAGAAGGCAUGAAACUGGGAGGGAGGAGUGUUGUGGGGAACCUGGGGGAGUGGACAUGAUUAAAAUACAACAGAAACACAUAUGGAAUGCUCAAAGAAUAAACAAAAUGUCAUAAAAAAUACAGACUUCAAGCAGUUGAUAGCUAUUUAAACACAAUCUGUGACCGUGUACUGCAGAAUAAAGCAGAAAUCCUCCCACAGAAGUGCACAGCUACUGUAACUUAUGUUUUGCUUUCGUGAGACAGGGCCUAAGUCUUUAGUCCAGCAGGCCACAAUUCACUAUAUGGACAGGAUCCCACGAUCCUGUCAGUUUGAGCCUCCUGAGUGCUGGGACUAAAGGCAUACACCACAUACCCAGUGCUAAAGUGGUUUUAAAGCCACUUAGUGUCACUUGUGUCACCUGUCCUGAGAGGUGGCGAUGAGAAACCACACUCUAGCACUCAGGCUGUGAGGACCAGAAGUCGCUCUUCAGCCGAGUGUGUGACGUGCCAGUGUCCUGCUUGUUUCGUCUGUUGUAACAUGCUAGUGGCACAGAAAAGAACUCACCUCUGAAAUAGCUCACAGGACACCUUCUGGUUCUAGUGUUCAUGAAUAUUUAGAGAUGAACAGAAUUUAAAUGAAUGGAGGUUUUCCUGUGGGUGACUGUGGCACCUACACAAGGCCAAAGGAGGGGUCCUUGAUUCUGCAUAGAUGGCCUUUACUUAAUGCUUGUGAGUGGGAAGACAGAGGGGGAGCAGAGAGGGAGAGUCAGCUAGCACCGGCAUGCCUUUGACUUUGAAAUUUACCCAGGGCAUCUUCCUCUGAUCUGCUGUCUAAUUUGUGGGUCUAUAAAUCUGAUGAGUCAGUCUGUAAAUCUUGGAUACCUAAUAAUGCCUGCAAAAGCAACAGACCUGGUCAGCUCAAACAGGUUCUAUAAAACUGAUGAGUCAGUCAGUCUGUGAGUCCUGAACACCCGGUCAGCUCUAACAGGCUGCUGGCAAGGACGAGACAGACAGCUGGAAAGGUUUGAGCUGAAUGAGAAGGUCCACUAAACUAAAAUUAUCAUAAUUACUUUAUAUACUGUACAGCUCAGCUGUAGCUAGACACAACGCACAGUGCAGUUCAGAAAAAUUUAUCUCAAUAGAGUGCUACAAACAAUUUUUAAAACUGUAUGUAAGGAGAGAUUUUCUUUACAUAACCUUUUGUGUGUGUAUGCAUAUCUAAGUCAGGGGUCAAAUGUGUUGUUUCUCAGGAGUGCCAUGGAUUUCCAUUUUUCCUUUGGGAGACCAAGUGGGACCUGAGGCUUGCUGUGUUUGCCAGGCUGGCUGAGCAGACUGCUCCAGAGACCGGCUGUCUCUGCCACAACAGUGCAGGAUUACACACGUGUGCCACUCUGCUGGACUCUUGUGUGGACCCUGGGGACGGCCUGCACCCACCCUUUCACAGCAAGCACUUUACAGAUGAGCCAUCUGCCCAGCUCCAUGGUAAUUAAAAGGGUUAUGCACACUUGGAGAUGAGUUUCAGCUUGUCCAAGUUUUACAUUCUAAUUGUUAUCUAAAAUGGCCAAAUGCUCACUCUCAGAAGAAGUAUGUUUAAAUGCAAAUAUCACUCACAACACCCAUUUCUAUAUUAUUUCCAUUAUUAUAAAAUUUAAAAAUGGAAACAAUGUAAUUUUUUAGAACCUAAGAACAAGGCAAGUUACUCAAAAACUCUGUGGACGGGGUUGGGGAUUUAGCUCAGUGGUAGAGCGCUUGCCUAGGAAGCGCAAGGCCCUGGGUUCAGUCCCCAGCUCCGAAAAAAAGAACCAAAAAAAAAAAAAAAAACCAAAAAACAAAAAACUCUGUGGACAGAGCCCAUGAACGACCAGCAUUCAUUUCACCAUAUUAGAAUGCGUAACGGUUUUAGAAGCCAUCAGUGGGGCACUAGUGUGGCAUAACAUUGCAUCUAGAGACCAGUGAGGGCACACAAGCCUGAGGUGGGCUCUGUGCUGUUCUGGAAAACCAGUGAAGGACUGAAAAAGCAUCUCAGGACAACAACACGUUUAUCUGUCUGGGAGGCCCCGAGUCCGUCCAGUAGCUGCACUGUAGGCUUUACUGAGGUUACUAGGAACCGCGGCAAACCGUUGGGCGUCUUCCAGACUUUCUAGGUAACUUCAAGUUCAUGCUUACACUCCUGCUUUUUAAAGUAAUGUUGUAUUUCCCACAGGUUUUCAGAAUGUUCUAAGGCUUGCUUGCUUAUUGACUAGUCAGGUAAGUUUUCUUUUGAGACAGGAUCUUGUUCUGUAGCUCAGGUUGGUCUUGAAGUUUUGAUUUUCCUGCCUCUGGACUGCUGGAAACACGGGUGUGUGUGGCCAUGCCAGGUACUCUAUUUACAAUGUAAAGGAAAUUUAAAGACAGUUCAUUCCGUAUGGACCCCAGAAGCUUUUUAGAAUAUGAGGUAUCUUUAUUAUACUGCUUUCAAAGUUCAUCUGAGAGGCCAGCUUGAGUUUCAUCACCCCAGUCUCUGUACUGAAAAUCUGAACUUGGAUAACAAAAUGCUGAUUUCUGAAGCAUUGCAAUAGGCAAAAUCAUGACAAAAACUAAUGGGAA
rnacentral:sRNA from 1 species